AGAGUUUGAUCCUGGCUCAGGAUGAACGCUGGCGGCGUGCUUAACACAUGCAAGUCGAACGAAGCAAUUUUUUACAAUCCCUUCGGGGUGACGAAUGAUUGACUGAGUGGCGGACGGGUGAGUAACGCGUGGGGAACCUGCCCCGUACCGGGGGAUAGCAGUUGGAAACGACUGAUAAUACCGCAUAAGCGCACGAUAAGACAUCUUAAUGUGUGAAAAACUCCGGUGGUACGGGAUGGCCCCGCGUCUGAUUAGCCAGUUGGCAGGGUAACGGCCUACCAAAACGACGAUCAGUAGCCGGCCUGAGAGGGUGAACGGCCACAUUGGGACUGAGACACGGCCCAGACUCCUACGGGAGGCAGCAGUGGGGAAUAUUGCACAAUGGAGGGAACUCUGAUGCAGCGACGCCGCGUGAGUGAGGAAGUAUUUCGGUAUGUAAAGCUCUAUCAGCANGGAAAGAUAAUGACGGUACCUGAGUAAGAAGCACCGGCUAAAUACGUGCCAGCAGCCGCGGUAAUACGUAUGGUGCAAGCGUUAUCCGGGAUUUACUGGGUGUAAANGGGANNGCAGGCGGNUNGANAGNCNNAUGUGAAACCCNAGNUCAACCACCGGGAUGCAUUUGAACUGUANACUANAGNNUCGAANNGCANNG
rnacentral:rRNA from 1 species